GAUGAACGCUGUCUACAGGCUUAACACAUGCAAGUCGAGGGGAAACGACGGGGAAGCUUGCUUCCCCGGGCGUCGACCGGCGCACGGGUGAGUAACGCGUAUCCAACCUGCCUCUGACUGAGGGAUAACCCGUCGAAAGUCGGCCUAAUACCUCAUGGCAUCGUCUGCGGGCAUCCAACGACGAUUAAAGAUUUCAUCGGUCAGGGAUGGGGAUGCGUCUGAUUAGCUUGUUGGCGGGGUAACGGCCCACCAAGGCUACGAUCAGUAGGGGUUCUGAGAGGAAGGUCCCCCACAUUGGAACUGAGACACGGUCCAAACUCCUACGGGAGGCAGCAGUGAGGAAUAUUGGUCAAUGGGCGGGAGCCUGAACCAGCCAAGUAGCGUGCAGGAUGACGGCCCUAUGGGUUGUAAACUGCUUUUAUGCGGGGAUAAAGUGAGGGACGUGUCCUUCAUUGCAGGUUCCGCAUGAAUAAGGACCGGCUAAUUCCGUG
rnacentral:rRNA from 1 species